rnacentral:misc_RNA from 1 species
UUGACUCGUUUGUAUAAUACUCGGAGAUGCCAACACGCUGAGACAGAGUAUGCGGGCCGCCGGCGGGCUCCAGAGGGGUUUCCCCCCCGGGGCGCCCGCCGAGGCAACGACGGUAGGUAAGAUUCACAGUGGUAUUACGGGAGUAUGACGUCCUGUAAUGAUCCCUCCGCUGGUUCACCAACGGAGA